UGACUCAGACUCGAGAGUAGGGGGGCUAGUAUUGAGGGUGAUUUUAUACUGAUCGAAGAUAUGAAGCUUACAAGGACCCCAUCAGAUGCCUUUGAUUUAUUUACUUCAGCUACUGAUCCCAACAUCGACCUCCACUCCCAGCUUUGACCAUUGAUCCCUAGAAGACCUCUUUAUAGCCCUAUCACAUCAUCCCAUUUAAAAAUAAGAAUGGUCAUGAGUAAAGUAAAGCAAGCCCCCCAUAUGUCAUAUGGGGAUGCCACUCACCCAACUAAGGAGGUUAGAAGGUCAGACACACAAUAACUAUCAAUUAUAUGACCUCAAGAAUCUCGCUACAUCAUGUCUGAAUCACCCCA
rnacentral:lncRNA from 1 species